rnacentral:rRNA from 1 species
UAAUACGUAGAUGGCGAGCGUUAUCCGGAAUCAUUGGGCGUAAAGCGGGCGUAGGCGGUUCUGCAAGUCAGAUGUAAAAUCUCCCGGCUUAACCGGGAGGGAACAUUCGAUACUGCGGGGCUAGAGUGCAGCAGGGGGAAGUAGAAUUCCCGGUGUAGUGGUGAAAUGCGUAGAUAUCGGGAGGAACACCAGUGGCGAAGGCGGCUUUCUGGGCUGUUACUGACGCUGAGGUCCUAAAGCGUGGGGAGCAAACAGGAUUAGAUACCCUGGUAGUCCACGCCGUAAACGAUGGACACUAGGUAUGGGGAGUAUCGACCCUUUCCGUGCCGAAGCUAACGCAUUAAGUGUCCCGCCUGGGGAGUACGGUCGCAAGACUA